UAGGGAAUCUUCCGCAAUGGACGCAAGUCUGACGGAGCAACGCCGCGUGAGUGAAGAAGGAUUUCGGUUCGUAAAACUCUGUUGUUAGAGAAGAACAGCGCAUAGAGUAACUGUUAUGCGUGUGACGGUAUCUAACCAGAAAGCCACGGCUAACUACGUGCCAGCAGCCGCGGUAAUACGUAGGUGGCAAGCGUUAUCCGGAAUUAUUGGGCGUAAAGCGCGCGUAGGCGGUUUUUUAAGUCUGAAGUGAAAGGCAGUGGCUCAACCAUUGUAGGCUUUGGAAACUGUUUAACUUGAGUGCAGAAGGGGAGAGUGGAAUUCCAUGUGUAGCGGUGAAAUGCGUAGAUAUAUGGAGGAACACCGGUGGCGAAAGCGGCUCUCUGGUCUGUAACUGACGCUGAGGCUCGAAAGCGUGGGGAGCGAACAGG
rnacentral:rRNA from 1 species